CGAACGCUGGCGGCGUGCUUAACACAUGCAAGUCGAACGCGAACGAGUUCUUCGGAACUUUAGUAGAGUGGCGCACGGGUGAGUAACGCGUAAGUAAUCUACCCUCGCAUUUGGGAUAACCCACCGAAAGGUGUGCUAAUACCGGAUACGUCUAUUUUAAUAUCUUUUUUUUAGAGAAAGGUGGCCUCUGAUGUAAGCCACUGUGCGGGGAGGAGCUUGCGUACCAUUAGCUAGUUGGUAGGGUAACGGCCUACCAAGGCGACGAUGGUUAGCGGGUCUGAGAGGAUGAUCCGCCACACUGGAACUGGAACACGGACCAGACUCCUACGGGAGGCAGCAGUGAGGAAUAUUGCGCAAUGGGGGCAACCCUGACGCAGCGACGCCGCGUGGAUGAUGAAGGCCUUCGGGUUGUAAAAUCCUGUCAGAUGGGAAGAAGUGCCAGUUAUCUAAUAGGUGAUUGGUUUGACGGUACCAUCAAAGGAAGCACCGGCUAACUCC
rnacentral:rRNA from 1 species